AUCCUGGCUCAGGAUGAACGCUGGCGGCGUGCUUAACACAUGCAAGUCGAGCGAAGCGGUAAAGUGGAUUUCUUCGGAAAGAAGCUUUGCUGACUUAGCGGCGGACGGGUGAGUAACGCGUGGGUAACCUGCCUCAUACAGGGGGAUAACAGUUAGAAAUGACUGCUAAUACCGCAUAAGCGCACGGGACUGCAUGGUCCAGUGUGAAAAACCGAGGUGGUAUGAGAUGGACCCGCGUCUGAUUAGCUGGUUGGCGGGGUAACGGCCCACCAAGGCGACGAUCAGUAGCCGACCUGAGAGGGUGGCCGGCCACAUUGGGACUGAGACACGGCCCAAACUCCUACGGGAGGCAGCAGUGGGGAAUAUUGCACAAUGGGGGAAACCCUGAUGCAGCAACGCCGCGUGAGUGAAGAAGUAUUUCGGUAUGUAAAGCUCUAUCAGCAGGGAAGAGAAUGACGGUACCUGACUAAGAAGCCCCGGCUAACUACGUGCCAGCAGCCGCGGUAAUACGUAGGGGGCGA
rnacentral:rRNA from 1 species